CGUAAUUUCUAAGGGCAACCAUUUUGGAAAUGGCGCUGACUUCCCUUUUCGCUUUUUGUCCCAGGCUUCCGUCACCGCUGCGCGUGAGUCUAAAAAUAGACUAACGGCUUGUUCCAACCGGCAUUUCGUUGACGCUCUCUGCCUUUCGGGUUUACUUGACAUAUUGGAAAAUUUUUUGGCGGACGAUAUUUAUUAAUUUAGUUUUUCUUUCUUCGGAAUAUUGCUGUCAAAAAUAGAGUCUGUGGUCUUGCAGCUCUUUGAUAGAAAUCUGAGUGAGAAAUCAUUCAGCCAUCGGAAUCACGGUUAGAUCUUUCUGAUAAGUGACAGUACUUUAAGUGAUCAUAAUUAUUUACCUAAUUAUUAAUUAUAGACUACUUUUAAUUAUAGAUCUACCUAUUUAGUGUUAAGUAAUUAAAUGUAGAUCUAGUUCUAACUUACUUCUACUCUAAACUCUAAACAAUAGUAACUUUUUACUAGACUCACAAUUUUAAAAACAAAUGGUUUUUUUGUGUGUGAAAUAAACCUAGUAGGCCUAGUCUAUUUAUUUUAAAAUAAACUUUAUGCCUAGAUAUCAAUAUCUAAAUUUUCCAAAUGCAUUUUCAGAAGUUCGAAUGAGGAGAUGGAGAUGGCUGGGCCAUGUCCUACGCAUGAGCAAAAGAUGACUCCCCCAACAUGGCACUGGAAAACGAAAGAGGGGAAGACCACUGGGAACAUGGAGGAGAGAGAUGGAAGAAGAAGUGCAAGCUGCUGGCAAGACCUGGCAUGAACUAAAGUGGCUCGCCCAGGACAGAGUGGAAUGGCAGGGAUUUGUUGCUGCCCUAUACUCCACAGGGAGUGAUGAGGAUUAAAGAAAGCAGACACAGAUCCAGUGUUGGAAGAGGAAGUAUUUUAUAUAAAAGAAAAAAAAACAACAGAUGUCAAAGCAGGUAUUGGCUGGUGCAGAAACAGCAUGAAAGGAUUUUUGUAUCUUUUCUGGACUGAUGACUUUCAUUCAACCUGAUCAUUUUUUAAUUUGCAUCAACUAAAACAUGUUAUA